AUCUUAGUGCACGGGCUUUAACGUUGACAGUGAGGAGCAAUCCGAGUCACGUUUUUUGCUGUUUGAAAACUGAAACUAUGACCACUUCAGUUGGUCUUCGGAUCGGCUGGGAAUCUUUGGAAUAUUACUCUAUGGU
rfam:Exophiala aquamarina CBS 119918 aczIA-supercont1.9, whole genome shotgun sequence.